AACCCAAAGAAACACAAAAAAAAAAAACCUCCUCUUGCUCCUUCACUGUUCACGUAACAAGCACCAAACCCUCAACACCCUCCUCCUUGCUGCCGCUGCUCACGCCGCCGGACCCACCAGCACGUCACCGGCAUCCCGUCGCCACUGCACCACCACCACGCUGAGCGCUCGUGGUUCGGCAAUAACCGCCGUCCUCGUCGUCCACCCUUGCACGCAACACCACCUCGCCGCACCGCCGCGUGCCGCCCAGCCUUCCUCGCCGCACCGCCGCGUGCCGCCCAGCCUUCCUCGUCGCCGGCAGUUCUCCCCCUUCCCUUAUUCGGCGGAGAAUUCUCUUUAGGCGACUUUUGAAAGUGUUAAAGUGGCCUAUCAGUUUGUUUACACAAGGUACGUACAUACCUGUGUGCUUGGAAUGUGUGCUAAUUGUUGAAACCAUGUGUAUUAUUGAUGAACCUGGUUAUGUUAAUGUUGUUGAUGAACUUAGUCGGGUUGAAACUGCAUGUUUGAUACUGUUGGAUGAACAUAUUAAACCUUUAUUGCAUUUUGAGGAUUUUAACAUGUUAGUAUGGAAGAUUGAUGCAAACAUGUUUGAUUGGGAACGCUAGAUUGUUUAGUAUAUAAUUCAGAUCAGUUAAUUGUUGUUCCCUUUUUAGCUUUUCACUACUUUAUGAGGGCGGAGGACCUCAUUUAGUAAGUUGAAACCUUAUACCCAUAUUCAGGGGUUAAUUAGUAUUAAAGAAAAGAUUGGAGUUAAUUGGAAUGAGUCUUGUUAGAUGCCUUUGUGAUCACUUACUCAAUUCCAAGAUAAAAACAGUUAUAAAUAAAUGUGAGUUGCAUGCCUUAUGUGAUUGUUGAGUCAUAACAGGGUGUCAAUUUGUAAAUCAUGUAAAGUGAAACUGAGUAGCAAUAGCUUUAGACUGUGCACGUCUAAAGUGACGGACAAACAGGAGUUGGGGUUCAUGGUGGUAGCCCAUGGCCUUUCAUUCGGACCGGAUUGAUCACCGCGUCCUAUUUUCAGUCAAACGUUCCUCGAUAUCGCAGGUCACUGAGGUUACGGAGUCGCGCCCGUACCUCGCCUAGCUAGAAAACUCGGUCCAUUGCCUAUUUAAAUUAAAAUAAUGUUAUUGUUAUAAAAAGUCUAGUCCAGUCUAGCUUAGUCUAGUUAGGUAUGGUCGUUAGAUUAUCAUGCUUUGUUUGCCCUUAAUUAUGUUUAAUAGUAUCAUGUUAGGAUUUUUAUUGCUUUAGUAUGUAGUACUCAGCUUUGCUGAUUACGUGCUUGUUUGUGUGUGUUGAUCAUGGCUAUGCCUUAUUGAU